rnacentral:rRNA from 1 species
UACGAAGGGGGCUAGCGUUGUUCGGAAUCACUGGGCGUAAAGGGCGCGUAGGCGGCCGAUCAAGUCGGGGGUGAAAGCCUGUGGCUCAACCACAGAAUUGCCUUCGAUACUGUUUGGCUUGAGACCGGAAGAGGUUAGUGGAACUGCGAGUGUAGAGGUGAAAUUCGUAGAUAUUCGCAAGAACACCAGUGGCGAAGGCGGCUGACUGGUCCGGUUCCGACGCUGAGGCGCGAAAGCGUGGGGAGCAAACAGG